rnacentral:rRNA from 1 species
GGUGAACCAGCGGAGGGAUCAUUACCGAGUUUACAACUCCCAAACCCCUGUGAACAUACCUUAAUGUUGCCUCGGCGGAUCAGCCCGCGCCCCGUAAAACGGGACGGCCCGCCAGAGGACCCAAACUCUAAUGUUUCUUAUUGUAACUUCUGAGUAAAACAAACAAAUAAAUCAAAACUUUCAACAACGGAUCUCUUGGUUCUGGCAUCGAUGAAGAACGCAGCAAAAUGCGAUAAGUAAUGUGAAUUGCAGAAUUCAGUGAAUCAUCGAAUCUUUGAACGCACAUUGCGCCCGCUGGUAUUCCGGCGGGCAUGCCUGUUCGAGCGUCAUUUCAACCCUCAAGCCCCCGGGUUUGGUGUUGGGGAUCGGCUCUGCCCUUCUGGGCGGUGCCGCCCCCGAAAUACAUUGGCGGUCUCGCUGCAGCCUCCAUUGCGUAGUAGCUAACACCUCGCAACUGGAACGCGGCGCGGCCAUGCCGUAAAACCCCAACUUCUGAAUGUUGACCUCGGAUCAGGUAGGAAUACCCGCUGAACUUAAGCAUAUCAAUAAGCGGAGGAA